ensembl:lncRNA
CAUCAAAGUUUGUUCACAAACUUUACUCAUAGUAAUUAUUGUGUUGUCAUAUACUUUUAUACUUUUAAACACAAACAGUCACAGUUCCAUUCUGGUUGAAAUUAAAUUUAAAGUACAUUUCUGUUAGCAGAUGGAGUUGUUGAAUAACAGGCGGCGGUUGCUCAGCAGUAAAGUCCGUGAUAGUCUUUACAUCAACAGUUGUGCAGAUGUUCUCGCGCGGGCUGAAUGAAAUGUGCAGCACGUCGACUCAUUAAUCAUACAGUUCUUAUACAGCUGCUCGUGUUCUCUGGGAAAUGUAGCGCAGGGUCAUUUUUCAACACUGAGUCUGGGUUUGUUCGUCAAGGUAGUGAGAGUACAAAAUAUAUUGUGCUGUGAGAAAUAUGUGUGUUUUUUUGAGCGUAAGCGUGCAUGUAUAACCGAGUUUCCCCCAACUCCGCCUCAAGGUGGACUUCAUUGUGAGCUUUUACAGAUUGUUUUAUGAGACAGUCUAUGAUAAAGGAGGGCUAUCUGAGGAAAACGGAAAACUCAAAUCACCCCCGAAAGGCAAUCCACAUGACCGCUAGCGCUUCCGCUGCAUCGGUAGCACACGGUGGAGAGCGAGCAUUGCUCACAGAUAAUCAGUCAGUGAAUCGCUUUAACUGAAUGAUUGAAGUCAUGAGUUUGAAUCAAUCGGAGCAGUUCCAGUGUAAAUGACUCACUCAAUUGAAUCGGUUCGUCUGUUCCUCCUCUUUUCUCGUCUUCUUCAGUUAUGUUUACACGACUGUCAGCACUACUACUGGCUCAGCUCGCUAGUUUUAUAACAUUAACUGAAAUAAGCGAAAAAUAUUUCCAUUCCCAAGAUAACAUCCAACACAAAUCUAGAACAGAUUCAGGUGCGGUAACCAGUUUACUGCUAACUAGUGAAACACUCCAACUAAUAUGCUGCUCAGUAUACAGGUCUGAUGGAAACAUUGUACAUUACGAUCGAGUUUGUAGCUAAAUUCACUAUUUGAAAUAG